CACGUAGGGGGCAAGCGUUGUCCGGAUUCAUUGGGCGUAAAGAGCUCGUAGGCGGUUCGAUAAGUCGGGUGUGAAACCUCCAGGCUCAACCUGGAGACGCCACCCGAUACUGUCGUGACUAGAGUCCAGUAGGGGAGCGUGGAAUUCCUGGUGUAGCGGUGAAAUGACGCAGAUAUCAGGAGGAACACCAGCGGCGAAGGCGGCGCUCUGGGCUGGAACUGACGCUGAGGCGCGAAAGCUAGGGGAGCAAACGGG
rnacentral:rRNA from 1 species